rnacentral:rRNA from 1 species
CGGGGUGAGUAACACGUGGAUAACCUACCUAUAAGACUGGGAUAACUUCGGGAAACCGGAGCUAAUACCGGAUAAUAUAUUGAACCGCAUGGUUCAAUAGUGAAAGACGGCUUUGCUGUCACUUAUAGAUGGAUCCGCGCCGCAUUAGCUAGUUGGUAAGGUAACGGCUUACCAAGGCAACGAUGCGUAGCCGACCUGAGAGGGUGAUCGGCCACACUGGAACUGAGACACGGUCCAGACUCCUACGGGAGGCAGCAGCA